rnacentral:tRNA from 1 species
GCUUUCAUGGUGUAGUGUUCAGCACGCUCGAUGGGCAUUCGAGAGGUCCGUGGUUCGAGUCCCGGCAAAGAGCA